GAAGUACUCCCUCCGUCCGAAAUAACUUGUCCUAAGCUUGUUCCUCAAAUGGAUGUAUCUAGCACUAACAUGGUGCUAGAUACAUUCAUUUGAGAGAUAAACUUUUUCGGAUAGAGGGAGUAAUAA
rfam:Triticum urartu cultivar G1812 contig998242, whole genome shotgun sequence.